ensembl:lncRNA
GUGGAGGGGUGUGUGGACUGACUGACUGCCCAGAUUCCAAAGUCCAAGAUGAAUUCCCGAUUCCUCGCAGAGCAGAAGGCCCACGUUGCAGCUUGUUCCAGCCUCGCUCUGAACGGCGGAGAUUCAGGAGGAGGCCACCUCUGGGCCCGCCUGGGGCUCACCUGUUCCACGUUGCAGGAUUCCAGGACUCUCUGAAUUCUGACAGCAGCAAUCAAAUUCAGGCAUCUUGGUGUAUAAAGUGUGGAUGUCAUCUGUUGCUUUUUCUUUCCAUUUUAAGAUCAAGAGAUUAAAUAUAUAUUUGCACAAAUGAAAUUCACAUUUUAAAGCAGUUGUUCUUAACAAGCAAGCUUCUGGAGGAUGAGCAUGAAUAAUAUUUUGCCAAUAGAUUGAAAAUUUAGAUGGCAUCGACAAAUGCCGUAAAAAAUCCCCUAAUUUACCAAAUGACACAGAAGAAAUAGAAAAUUAGAGUAAUCUUAUGACUCAUGACUGAAUCUAUAAUGUAAAACUUUCCUAUAAGAAUAUAUGGAAAAGCAAGUAGUUCAAAAGGGCCAAGACCCUUUUGCAGAAGAAGGAUAAUUUGAAAGAAUUAACCCAAGCAGGUAUCUAGUGCUGCUAAAAUCUAGAGAAAUGAAAACUGGAUGGAAUCUGUGCAGAGAUGAGCAACUGAGCGGCUGAACACAACUGAGCCUAGAGAGAGAUCUGCACAUAUUUGGAAUGACGGCAUGGCAUUGCGUGUCAGUAGGGAACAAUUAACUUUUCAAUAAGUUGUGAUGGGAAAAUUGCUUAUCCAUGUCAGAAAAGUGGAAUUGGGUCCCUAUCCCAUACCUUACACAGAAAAUCAAUCUCAGAUGUGUUAAGAAUUAAAUAUGGAAAGAAAACUUAAAAACUUUUAGAAGAAGAUCUAGGAAAAUAUAUUUCUGACUUUAAGCUAGGAAAGAUUUCUUAAACAAGACAUGAGAAGUACCAACAAUGAAAGAAAAGAUAAAUAAACUUUACUACAUUAAAAUUUAAAAAUUCUAUUCUUGAGAAGGUAUUAUACUGAGAAAAGAUGAGGCUAACUGGCAGAAGACACCUGCAACGAGUAUAGUUGACAACGGAUAAGUAUAAGAAUAGAUAAAGAAUAGAUAAAGAAGAUAAAGAACUCCUACAAACAAGAAAAAAGCCAAAUGCCUCAAUAAUAAUAAUUUUUUUAAAAACCAAAGUCAUGUAUAGGCAUUUUACAAAGGAAGAAACAGGACGGCCAAUUAACAUUUGAAAAGUUGCUCAGCCUCAUUAAUAAAAAUAGAAAUACAAAUGAAGACAACAAAGAGACACCAUUGUGGCAUUAGGUUGGCAAAAAUUAGCUCUGAUUAUAAUAAGAGUCAGAGAGGAUCUGGAUCAAUUCUACAAAGUAUAAAUGGAGAAGCUCUUACACAUAUGCGCCAGGUGUCGAUACAAAUCAUCUAUAAUCAAUUUAUAAAUCAAAAUUGGGGUGAAUUUAUUAUGAGCCAAGUCUGAGGACUAUAGCCCGGGGCCUUCUUUCUCCAAGGAAGGAAGGGCACCAAAGAAAUGGGGAGUACAGAGUGGUUAUAUACUGUCUUGGAGCAAAGAGCAUCCAUCACAUAUGAUAGGAAUGUCCCUUUUACAAAAGUCACGAGAUCGCUUUGCUGGCACCGCAGUUCAGUGAACACAGCAGCUCGGUGGUCACAAGGUGCGCACAGCAGGUGGGUAAUUAAUCCUUAGUUUCUAGGAAGAGAUGCUUAUCCUUAAGGGAAUGCCAAUACAGGGGGAAGCUGCAUCCCUAUCUUUAAGGGCAUCAUUCUUGUCUUUGGGACAUCGUGAAUGUUUAAAGCAGAUGUACGAGGCAUGCCCAACAGGCCACGUCAGGCCCUUCUGCAGAAACAAGGUCAGGCCAGAUUAGUUUUAAACCAAGUGGCUUCCUCAUAUACUCGGAUAUAUCCUAUUGCUUUUCGUUUAUUUAUCACGGGAAACAUACAACAAUAUUAGUAGCUUCAUGUUUAUGAGAGCAAAAAACUGCAGGUAACCCAAAUGUCUAUCAGUGGAAGGUUGUGGUGUAGUCACACAAUUAAAUAUAUAGCAGGGAAAAUUCACUAACUAUUGCUUCAUGCAACAACAGAGAUAUGUCUUAGAAUGUGCAGGAACAAGACCAGGAUGUCUGGUCCCAUAAUUGCACUGGAGUCCUACCCAGGACAAUUAAGCAAGAAAAAGAAAUCAAAGACGUCCGGGUUGGAAAGGAAGUAAAACUUUCUUUGUAUGCAGAUGGCCUGAUCUUGUUUCUAGAAAAUCCUAAGGAAUGCACCAAAAAAGCUAUUAGAGAUAAUAUAUGAAAUCAGCAAGGUUACAGGGUAUGAGAUUGAUGUGCAAAAAUCAAUUAUAUUUCUAUGUACCAACAGUGAAUAACCUGAAAAUGAAAUUAAGAAAAAAUUCCGUUCACAAUAGCAUCAAAAAGAAUAAAAUACUUAGGAAUAAACUUAACAAAAGAAGUGUAAAACUUGUACAAAAACGGGCUGGCAGUUCCUCAAAUAGAGUUAGUAUAUGACCCAGCAAUUCCAACCCUAGAUAUACAUCCAAGAAAGUUGAAAAUGUGUUAACACAAAAAUUUCCAUAUGAAUGAAUGAGGUACUGAUAGUUGCUAACUACAAAUGACCCUUGAAAACAUUAUGCUAAGUGACAGAAGCCGGUCACAAAAGCUGUAUAGUGCAUGUUUCCAUUUUUAUGAACAUCCAGAAUAGGCAAAUCCAUAGAGAUGGAAAGUGGAUUAGUGGUUGCCAAGGGCUGGGGUUUUGGGGGAGGAAAUGUUGAGUGACUGCCAGUGAGUAUAGGGUUUCCUUUUGGUGUGAUGGAAAUGUUCUGGAAUUAGAUGGUGGUGGUGGUUGCACACCAUGUAACCUUAUGAAUAUAUUAGAAACCACUGAAUCGUAUACUUUAAAAGGGCGAAUGUCAUGGUAUAUGAAUUAUUCUCUGUGAUACAAUAAGAAAUAUGUAUUUGGUCUUUGUCUCAGUUCCUGGAACACAGCUCCU